rnacentral:lncRNA from 1 species
CUUAAAUAAGAGAUCUCUGAAACUGCCCAAGAAGGGGAGAGGAGCCCAUGACCCCCAAUUUCACUAAUUAGUGACACAUGUUGGUCAGGUACCAGAAGAAUCUAUAGACCUCAGCCUUCUCAUCUGCAGAGAAGUGUUAUACCACUAAAAUUCAACACUUUUAACACAAAAAGUGUUCAUAUGCGUACACACUUCCUCUCUCUCAAUAUAUAUGUGUGUAUACACACACACACACACAAUGUUCUGUGUAAGAUGAAGAUGAGAAGAACAACUUUCUACUACUGAACUGCAUCCCCAUCUCCACUUAAACUUCUCAGAAUGCCCUCUUUGGUUCGUUCCUGGAAAGCCAGUCUUCCCUUCUGGAAUGAAGAGACCUCCAGGGUGGAAAGCAAAGAGGGUGGGUAGGACUUCUGAACACAGCCACCAUCCAAGUCCACUCAUGGUCACAUGAUUCAUUAGGAUCCUUAAUCCUCAUGAGAGCACUAGCAUCAGACCCUCUGACCCUGCCAGUGAAACCCCAUAAAACCAACCAAGAGGCUGGCCAACAUAUGCACACAUUAAUUAGAGUGACACAAGUUGUUGGCUUCUAGUCUGAUCAACAGAUCCAGGGCUGCAGGGGGCAGAGGAUCCCUUCCACCUGUCAAAUACCCUUUGGUCACACAAAGGCAUCAGUUGAACACAGUAGCUGAUCUGAAAGCUAACCCUCUUUGGAGAGUAGCUUAACCUCAGUAACUAAGGCUGAACUCUGGCAGUGAGUCCCUAAAAGAGACAGGCAGAAAUCUACUCAAGAGAGGAAACAAGAAUAAACUUUUAGCUUUGCUGUUAUUACUACAUCUAGUAUUAUGAAACAGGGGUGCGGGAGAAGCCCAAAAUGAAAGAAGAAAACUUUGAGGUAUUAAUGGAAGGCAU